AGCCACAGCAACGCAGGAUCCGAGCCACAUCUGCGACCUACCCCACAGCUCACGGCAACACCAGAUCCUUAUCCCACCGAGCAAGGCCAGGGAUCAAACCCUCAACCUCAUGUUACCUAGUCGGACUCGCUAACCACUGAGCCACAACGGGAACGCCCAAAUAUUUCUUUCUUAUUCAGGACUCAGAUCAAAUGUCCCCUCCUCAGACAGGCCUUCCCUGUCCAGCCAAUCUAAAUAAGCUCCCCACCCAUCACCCAUCACCCACGGCCACAUCACCUGUUUUGUUUUCUUAAGUGCUCUUAUCAUUGUCUGAAACAACCUGGCCCAGUUACUGGCUUACUUACUGGUUGCUUGUGUUUCCUGCCAGAAUGUAAGUUUCAAGCCAAGAGCACUGCCUGGUGUGAGUGAGCAGAUGUUCAGGAAAUACUUGGGGAUGGAAAAAAAAAAGAAUUCCUGAAAGUGGAGGCCGGAGAUUUAUUUGUCCCAAAUCUAAUAGGUACUUUAAAGUUCUGGUAUGAGUCUUCUCCAACAUUUGACAUCAGGAUGAUCUGCUCUGUCUCUAAGUCGUCACUUCCCUGGGCUUCUGUAACCUGCCAUUGAGACUCUAGUCUUGGGCACUUUUCUUUCCAGUUUCUCUUAAGAGCUCCUCCUCCUCCGCCCAUCCCUGACUUUCUGCUUUUCAGAGAGUUCCAUCCUAGUGCUUCUUCUUCCCCAAUUCCACAUCAUCGAGCAAGGUCACCUCAGCCACUGCUGAAACCGUGUGCAAGCCCCUAAAUCGUUGUGUUCUUUCCUUUAGCCUCUCUGGCCUCCUCUCCGUCUCAAAAGGCUGACUCAAGAGUUAACGAUUAGGGAGUUCCUGCUGUGGCUCAGCAGUAACGAACCCAACUAGUUUCCAUGAGGACAUGGGUUUGAUCCCUGGCCAUGCUCAGCGGGUGAAGCAUCCAGUGUUGCUAUGAGCUGUGGUGUAGAUCACAGAUAGAGCUCGGAUCUGGCAUUGCUGUGGGCAUGGUACAGGCUGGCAGCUGCAGCUCCAAUGUGACUCCAUGGCCUGGGAACUUCCAUAUUGCCACAGGUGCAGCCUUAAAAGAAAAAAAUAAGUAAAUAAAAAACAAACCAUAAUGGAAAAGAAUAUUUUUUUAAAAGAGUUAAUGAUUAGGAACUAUUGUUACAGCUAAAAGUUAGCCAAAACAGUCUCCAUGAUGUUAAGCCCUGCCUUGGUCCACUAACUUACUACUAAUGAUGACUUUCUAGUUAGAGUUAUAUCGUGCCUAGUGUCCAGCUUUUCACAAAUGACCUCUUCCUGACUUAAUCGCUUUCUUUUACGAAUGAUGGCUUUCUAGUUAGAGUUCUACUGCACCUAGUGGUUUCCUUUGUAAUUGAAACACUUCCUAACACCGCUUCCCCACAAGCCAUCUUCUUUCCAGAGAAAAGGUCAAGGAAGGAUAACCUUGACCAGAGACAACCGGAAACCAUCACCAGAUGGACUGACACAAGAAUUGACAACUGGAAUGAUCUAUGGGUCAAGAAUAAUAUCGACUCCUUAAUCUAUAACCCCGUCUUCUGAGCUAGACCUAUAAAACCCCUUGCUAUCCCCUCUCAGGACAGGACACAGUGUUGAGGUGUUAGCCCGCUGUGUCCUCCUUUGCCUGGCAAAGCAAUAAAGCUGUUCUUUCUGCUUCACCCCAAACUCAGUCUCUGAGACUUAGCUGGUGCCGGUGUACAGAGGCCGUGUUUCGGCUACACUCCUACGUGUCAUCAUUCACCAUCUAUUUUCUCAUGACUCCCAAAUCUAUACCUCUCUCCCAGGUGCAAGCAGCCCCUAGGAUGUCCCCUCCAGUUCAACAGUGCCAACCGAAACUGGUCACUUCCACCAGUCCCAAGCCACAUCCUCAGCAACCCCGCUGGCCCUGCUCCCCAACAACACACAUUCCUCCCUCUUCUGCAUGAAGCUCUCAGUCCCCCCGCCCCUUGCCCUGAGUCUAGGAUCCAAAUUCCUCCCCAUGCCUUCCAAGACCAUUCAUGACGUGUUCCUUUUGCCACACCAACCAUCUGCACUACACUCCCCCCUCACCUGUAGGAGCACAGACGCGCUUCUUCCUGGGUCCCACGCCAGAUCCAAACCGCGUAUGCGAACUAAACCACAGCUCACAGCAACACUGGAUCCUUAACCCACUGAGCCAGACCAGGGAUCAAACUUGCGUCCUCAUGGUCACUAGUCAGAUUCGUUUCCUCUGAGCCAUGAUGGGAAUUCCUGAACCUUCUUUUAAGAGUCAGGUCUAUAGACAUUGCUAGUCCUCAAAUAGUUUUUGCUUCCAGGGCAACUCGAGAUACCUCUGAAAUCCUCAGUGGAUUUUUACAUCUUACUCAUCCUACCUCAGGCCCUAAUCCUCAUUUUUCUAUUCCUCCCUCAAUGCUGCACCACAAACCAACAUCCUAAUGACUUUCGGAGGAUCUGGGUUAAUUAGUGACUAGAGUUUGCCUCUCCCAGCUAAGAAUUUAGCUCAAUAUUUACAUUGUGCUGCCACCGGGUACAUUUGGUAACAGUGACUAAGCGUCUUGGCAGCUUUCAAACUGUACAAAAGAAAUUCAGGGAUAACAUAAUAGAUCAUCAGGAACAACUGGUGAACAAGCAAUUUAUUAUAAAUAAGAUGCACAUUAAUAAGUUUCAUAUUAAGACAAGCAUCCAAAAGAAACUGCAAAACUGCUGUCUGCUCCAGAGAUGCCCCUGCCUCUGCAAUCGUCACCAGCUCCAUGGUCGCUGUCCUCUCAGCUCCUUGGCAUCAGCUGGACAGACCCCGUGAAUGCACGUGCAGCUGAACCAGCGUAGGAAGAGAGCUGAGAAGCCAACUCCCAGCCUGCCAGCCAGGCUAGCCCCAGGGGCGCUGUCACUUGCCACAUCCCUCGAAGGACCACACUCCUGCUACCUUCCCCUAAAUGUACUAUUGGGGUGGACAGUGACCCUGGGAGCCAGCGAGGGCUGUUGGCUGUUGCCUAUGGGCCAUGCUGUUUCUCCAACUGAACAGACUCAAGAAAGAGCAGCACCAAGUGCCCAUCAUGCAACAACCCCAGGCAGUGUCCCUGCCAGGCUACUUCCACUCAAAGGGACUGAGCGGGAAAUCCAUCCUGCAGAUGAACGGCAGCUGGUGCUCUGUGCCCCCAGCAGGGACCUUCAACACGACCCUGAAUUGCAGGGGUUGUUUGGUUUUGUUUUGUCUUAGGGCCUCACCCAAGGCAUAUGGCAGUUACCAGGCUAGGGGUCCCAUCAGAGCUGCAGCUGCCAACCUAAGCCACAGCCACAGCCACGGCAACUCGGGAUCCGAGCCUCAUCUAUGACCUACACCACAGCUCACAGCAACACUGGAUCCUUAACCCACUGAGCAAGGCCAGGGAUCGAAUCCAUAUCCUCAUGGAUUCAUUGCCACUAGUUGGAUUCAAUACCACUGAGCUACAACAGGAACCUCCCCCGCUUUUUUUUCUGAAUUGCAAUUUUGAGAAUGCACCCCAACCUCACUUCCCUCUUCUGGCUGAGUGACAGGGGCCUCUAUCAGUGGCGGGAGCUUAUUGUGGCCAGUUCCCCAAGGCACUGCCUUGAGAGGCCCCUCUGAGUCUGAUAAUGACCACAGAACAACAGAUUCCCAAGGCUUGGGAAGGAGCAUCCUGACACUUAUUAACAACACAAUGAAUUUAAGUUGUAAUGAGGCGGAAAAAGCAAACCGGCCCUAAGGCUCAGCCUUAUACUCAGAGCUCUGAGGGAACUUACACAGGAAGAUCCCUGCUCUGGAGGCAGCUGAGACCUAGUUAAGGAAGAAAGAUUUUUGCACGUAAAAGUGACACCUUAUGUUGGAGCUCUUGGCCCUCCUGCACCCCCAGGCAUGCUCAGCUGCUGGGAGGGUCAGCACAGACAGCGUGGACAGACCAUCUGGGGCCAGAGCGGGCAGUGCUUAGGGUCUGCUAUGGGGUAGGGGCCCAUGACAAUGCUUUCAUUUCUUUUCAGAUCAGAAGAAAAAAGUGAUUAUAGUCCAAUCUGAGUUGCAUUCACCUUUAUUUAUUCAGUUAAUUAGCUUUUUUAGGGCCGCACCAGCAGCAUAUGGAAAUUCCCAGUUCAGGGGUCGAAUCGGAACUGCAGCUUCCAGCCUACACCACAGCCACAGUAAUGCAGGAUCUGAAGCCGAAGAUCUGAAGUAAUGCCACACCGAAGCCUUAACCCACCGAGCGGGGCCAGGAAUUGAUCCUGCAUCCUCAUAAAUAUUAGUCAGGUUCUUAACCCGCUGAGCCACAAUGGGAACUCCUGCACUCACCUUUAUAUCAACACCAUUGCAAAAGAGACAUUUCAAUUUUUUUAAUGCAAGAGGAGGCCCAAGAAAGGCAAAAAUUUCAGAGACCUCCUGCAAUGAUAAUGCAGCCCUGACUGAACAGAAGGGAAACCAAAUAAGCAUCUGCGUGAAAUGCUCAAUUCCUAUUCUGCCCUUGCACAGGCAGCUGCCAGCCGCGCGAGACCCAUGCCCUGGAGCAAGUCCUGAGUAGCCAUUCUGCUCACAGGCAUCUGGGCCCUGCCCUGGACCUAGAAAUGAAAUGCGGAUCGGAAUGAUGGCAGGGAUAAUCAUUUAAUGCGUACUUCCGGUGUGCAUCAGCUUCAGUGCUUACGGCUUUAUGUGCCUGAUCUUAUUUAAUCACCUCUAGAGCCUUGGAAGAUAUUAUUACCUACAUUUCAUAGACGAAGAAAGCACCACUCAAAGAAUGAAUAAGCCCUGGCUGUGGGCUCUGUGUGGCCAACUGCAGGGGGCGCCGUCUACGUCAUAGUAGUUGAUGCCGAGGCCCCCUGGGAAUCCUGUGAUAUGACAGAACUGGCCAGGCUCAUCCAUGCACUUUGCAUCUUCAUUCCACUGCCUCUAAAAUUAUAGACUUUUCCCGAGCAAAACACAUCCCAGACCAAACAACAAGAGAGCGUGUACAAAAAGUGGGUGCCCCUGCUGUACACACCACAGGGCACUAUAUCUAGUCCCUUGUGAUGGAACAGGAUGGAGGAUAAUGUGAGAAAAAGAAUAUAUGUAUAUGACCGAGUCACUUUGCUUAUAGCAGAAAUUGACAGAACACUGUAAAUCAACUAUAGUUUAAGAAAAAAAAAAAAAAAAAAA
rnacentral:lncRNA from 1 species